AUCGAACGCUGGCGGCAGGCCUAACACAUGCAAGUCGAGCGAGUGGCGGACGGGUGAGUAAUGUAUGGGGACUGCCCGAUAGAGGGGGAUAACUACUGGAAACGGUGGCUAAUACCGCAUACUAUCGGAUAACCCAUAUGGGAUUAGCUAGUGGGGGGGGUAAAGGCUCACCUAGGCGACGAUCGCUAGCUGGUCGGAGAGGUUGAUCAGCCACACUGGAACGGAGACACGGCCAAGACUCCUACGGAGGCAGCAGUGGGGAAUAUUGCACAAUGGGCGCAAGCCUGAUGCAGCAAGGCCGCGUGGAGGAAGAGGGCCUUCGGGUUGUAAAGUUCUUUCGGUAGAGAGGCGUUACCGGCAGAAGAAGCACCGGCUAACUCCGUGCCAGCAGCCGCGGUAAUAC
rnacentral:rRNA from 1 species